UACGGGGGGAGCAAGCGUUGUCCGGAAUCAUUGGGCGUAAAGCGCGCGUAGGCGGCCCUGUAAGUCCGUUGUGAAAGUCAAAGGCUCAACCUUUGAAAGCCGAUGGAUACUGCAGGGCUAGAGUCCGGAAGAGGCGAGUGGAAUUCCUGGUGUAGCGGUGGAAUGCGCAGAUAUCAGGAGGAACACCAAUAGCGAAGGCAGCUCGCUGGGACGGUACUGACGCUAAGGCGCGAAAGCGUGGGGAGCGAACAGG
rnacentral:rRNA from 1 species